rnacentral:rRNA from 1 species
UACGUAGGGUGCAAGCGUUGUCCGGAAUUAUUGGGCGUAAAGAGCUCGUAGGCGGCUUGUCGCGUCGUUCGUGAAAACCUGCAGCUCAACUGCAGGCUUGCGGUCGAUACGGGCAGGCUGGAGUUCGGUAGGGGAGACUGGAAUUCCUGGUGUAGCGGUGAAAUGCGUAGAUAUCGUAAGGAAGACCAGUGGCGAAGGCGGGUCUCUGGACAGUUCCUGACGCUGAGGCACGAAGGUCAGGGGAGCAAACGGG